rnacentral:rRNA from 1 species
CAAUAGCGUAUAUUAAAGUUGUUGCAGUUAAAAAGCUCGUAGUUGGAUUUCUGGUGGGAGCGAUCGGUCUGGCGCUUAGCGCGAGUACUUGCAUCGUCUCCGGCCAUCCUUGGGGAGAGUCUGUCUGGCAUUAGGUUGUCGGGCAGAGGAUCCUCAUCGUUUACUGUGAAAAAAUUAGAGUGUUCAAAGCAGGCUUAUGCCGUUGAAUAUAUUAGCAUGGAAUAAUAAGAUAGGACUUUGGUACUAUUUUGUUGGUUUGCGCACCAAAGUAAUGAUUAAUAGGGACAGUUGGGGAUAUUCGUAUUCCGUUGUCAGAGGUGAGAUUCUUGGAUUUACGGAAGACGAACUACUGCGAAAGCAUUUACCAAGGAUGUUUUCAUUAA